rnacentral:tRNA from 2 species
UCCCCAGUAGCUCAGUUGGUAGAGCAAGCGACUGUUAAUCGCUUUGUCACAGGUUCGAGUCCUGUCUGGGGAGCCA